AGUGAACGCUGGCGGUAGGCCUAACACAUGCAAGUCGAACGGCAGCACAGUAAGAGCUUGCUCUUACGGGUGGCGAGUGGCGGACGGGUGAGGAAUACAUCGGAAUCUACUUUUUCGUGGGGAAUAACGUAGGGAAACUUACGCUAAUACCGCAUACGACCUACGGGUGAAGGCAGGGGAUCUUCGGACCUUGCGCGAUUGAAUGAGCCGAUGUCGGAUUAGCUAGUUGGCGGGGUAAAGGCCCACCAAGGCGACGAUCCGUAGCUGGUCUGAGAGGAUGAUCAGCCACACUGGAACUGAGACACGGUCCAGACUCCUACGGGAGGCAGCAGUGGGGAAUAUUGGACAAUGGGCGCAAGCCUGAUCCAGCCAUACCGCGUGGGUGAAGAAGGCCUUCGGGUUGUAAAGCCCUUUUGUUGGGAAAGAAAAGCAGCAGGUUAAUACCCCGCUGUUCUGACGGUACCCAAAGAAUAAGCACCGGCUAACUUCGUG
rnacentral:rRNA from 1 species